AAGAGUUUGAUCCUGGCUCAGGACGAACGUUGGCGGCGUGCUUAACACAUGCAAGUCGAGCGGUUGAGAAGUGGGAGUUGAGAAGUUAGAAGUGAGAGAAAGAUCGAGCGGCGGACGGGUGAGUAACGCGUGGAUAAUCUGCCUGUAAGACAGGGAUAACGCCGGGAAACCGGUGCUAAUACCGGAUAACCUCUUUGAACCGCAUGAUUUAAAGAGAAAAGGUGGCCUCUUUACAAUGCUACCACUUACAGAUGAAUCCGCGUCCCAUUAGCCAGUUGGUGGGGUAAUGGCCUACCAAAGCGACGAUGGGUAGCCGGCCUGAGAGGGUGACCGGCCACACUGGAACUGAGAUACGGUCCAGACUCCUACGGGAGGCAGCAGUGGGGAAUCUUCCGCAAUGGGCGAAAGCCUGACGGAGCAACGCCGCGUGAGCGAAGAAGGUUUUCGGAUUGUAAAGCUCUGUGAUAUUGGACGAACGAUUUCCCGUAAAUAAUGGGAAAGAAUGACGGUACAAUAAGAGGAAGCCACGGCUAACUACGUGCCAGCAGCCGCGGUAAUACGUAGGUGGCAAAACGUGUUCCGGAAUUACUGGGCGUAAAGGGCGAGUAGGUGGUUUAUUAAGUCAGAAGUGAAAACUCCAGGCUCAACUUGGAGACUGCUUCUGAAACUGGUAGACUUGAGUGCAAGAGAGGGAAGUGGAAUUCCUAGUGUAGCGGUGAAAUGCGUAGAUAUUAGGAGGAACACCAGUGGCGAAGGCGACUUCCUGGCUUGUAACUGACACUGAGGCGCGAAAGCGUGGGGAUCAAACAGGAUUAGAUACCCUGGUAGUCCACGCCGUAAACGAUGAGUGCUAGGUGUCGGGGGUAAAAACUCGGUGCCGCAGCUAACGCAAUAAGCACUCUGGGGGGGGAGUUCGCAAGACUGAAACUCAAAGGAAUUGACGGGGGCCCGCACAAGCGGUGGAGUAUGUGGUUUAAUUCGACGCAACGCGAAGAACCUUACCAAGGCUUGACAUCCUGUGACAGCUAUAGAAAUAUAGACUUCUUAGUUUACUAAGACACAGAGACAGGUGGUGCAUGGUUGUCGUCAGCUCGUGUCGUGAGAUGUUGGGUUAAGUCCCGCAACGAGCGCAACCCCUAUAGCUAGUUGCCAGCACAUAGUGGGGCACUCUAGUGAGACUGCCGGUGACAAACCGGAGGAAGGUGGGGAUGACGUCAAAUCAUCAUGCCCCUUAUGAUCUGGGCUACACACGUGCUACAAUGGUCGGUACAACGAGCAGCGAAGUCGUAAGAUGGAGCGAAUCCUAAAAAGCCGAUCCCAGUUCGGAUUGCAGGCUGCAACCCGCCUACGUGAAGCCGGAGUUGCUAGUAAUCGCGAAUCAGAAUGUCGCGGUGAAUGCGUUCCCGGGUCUUGUACACACCGCCCGUCACACCAUGGAAGUUGGGGGGACCCGAAGCCAGUGAUCCAACCGUAAGGAGGAAGCUGUCGAAGGUAAAACCAAUGACUGGGGUGAAGUCGUAACAAGGUAACC
rnacentral:rRNA from 1 species